rnacentral:misc_RNA from 1 species
AUUUUGUAUUCUGCAUUCUGCGUUUACAAAGCUAGAGAGCAUUUUCGAGCGGAGGAACUCUUUGUUCCUUUUUUUAUAAAUCGGUGUUUUUAGAUGUUUCUCCUUUAUCAAAUCAUGGCUGUUAGUUUUCUAUAAAGUUUAGCGAUCGAUUUAGUAAAAUAUUUUAUACUAAAAGUUGAUGUGUAUAGCGCCAAUAGUAAUUUCUCUGAAGGCUAGUUAUUUCCUAAAAUCACAAUGACAUCUGGCAACAACAUUGAAUCAGAAUACCUGGAGCUGAAUUCCAAAAAUGAGUGGCAAAUUCUUUAUCAGAAAAUUCGGUCCCAAAGCUAUAAAGACAAUAUGUGUUCAGAAGCUACCAAACCACAAAAUAAAAUUUUAAACAGGUAUAGAGAUGUAAACCCAUACGAUCAUAGCAGAAUAGUGUUAACCAGAGGGUCGACAGAUUAUAUUAAUGCUAACCUUGUUAAGGUUGAAAGAGCAAAUAGGCACUAUAUACUUACACAAGGGCCUUUAAGUAAUACAUAUAGUCAUUUUUGGUUAAUGAUUUGGGAACAAGAUACGAAAGCUGUAGUAAUGUUGAAUAAGUUGGUAGAAAAAAAGCAAGAUAAAUGUUAUCAAUAUUGGCCGUCCAAAAUUGGUCCAGAUCACAUAAUGAAACUUGAAGACGUCGGACUAACCGUAGAAUACGUAGAGCAGCAAGAUCAUUCUUAUUAUCUCACCAGAGUCCUUCGACUGACGGACACAGAGAGCGGCAAAUCUCGUGAUAUAUUGCAAUAUCAUUAUACGACAUGGCCCGAUUUUGGAGUACCAAGUUCGCCAACUGCCUUUUUAGAGUUUCUUAAGAAAGUACGAGAUGCAGGAGUAUUGGAGGCAGAUGUUGGACCUGCUGUAGUUCAUUGUUCCGCUGGAAUCGGAAGAUCAGGGACUUUCUGUUUGGUUGACUCUUGUUUAAUUUUGAUUGAGAAAUAUGGUUUAAAUUCCGUCGAUCUUAAAGAAAUUCUAUUAGAAAUGAGGAAAUAUCGAAUGGGUUUAAUCCAGACUGCUGAGCAGUUGCGGUUUUCAUAUCAAGCCAUCAUAGAAGGAACCAAGCAGAUCCUCAAUCAAAAUUCGGAUGGUGGUGGGGAAAACCAUAUAGUAAUAACGAACAACAUAUCCCCUAAUGUGUCUGAAGAAAAUUCAGAGUCAGAAGACGAACCACCACCACUACCUCCUCCUCGAUUGGACAGCCUUAACAAACCCAAUGGAACACCUCUCGACAGACCUCUUCCACUUAUCCCGAAAAGUAUAUCAGAAGAAAACGGAUGGAAUUACGAUAGCAAACAAAAUGGCGAAGACGAGGCUUAUAUUCCCAGUGGUCCAUUGCCAGUAGUACCAGCUGAUGAAGAACUUAGCGAGGAAGAUGAGCUCGAGGAAGAAGAUGAUGAUGAAGAUGUGAGAUCAGAAAGUCCUGUAUCAGAUCAAUCUGAUCUAACGAACUCUAAAGACAAUUCACAAUCGGAAUUGAGACAACGAAAUCGACAAGAAAGGAAAGAAAAGCUGGAAGCCCAAGUGAGAGAUAUGAAACGUCGCCAACAAGUCAACGAACAGUGGACACAAUUGAAGAGGCCUAAAACAUCACACCAAGACUGACAUUUGAAAUUUUUUUGGAGAAGACUGGACUUUGAGAAAUUCAGAUGAAGAGAAAUAUAUUGACUUCCCAGAAAAGUUAAUAUUUAAAAGAGAGGUGAUAACUACAUCGCAAGAUAAUUUGUUAAUGACACAGGAUAUUAAAAUGUCUCAUAAGAGGGAAGAUAAAAAAGACGCUGAAAACAGAUCUACUAAAACAGUACCUACUACAACGAAGAGUACGGAACCCCGAUGGGACCAGUGGACUCAGUGGUCGCCUUGUAGUGUCAGCUGUGGAAGAGGUAGAAAUAUUCGAUGGAGAAAUUGUCGAGAAAAUUGUCGUGAAGCUGAAACAGAAAUGGAAGAGAAACGUUGUCAAAUGCCUGCUUGUCCUCAAAAAUUGUUCGGCUUGAUCAAAUUAUGAUACCGUAAUCAUUAUUAAAGAUUAAAAAUUUAUUGGGUACA